GUAUUAUUAUUUUAAACAUGGGCUAGAAAGAGUAAAAUGAGGGCUAUGAAUAGAAUCACCCUAUAACUUUUUGAGAGCUUCUUCAAUCGAAUUAAAUCUUUAGCUCAAAACUAAAUAUCCCUAGCCCAACAACUGUAGCAACCUUAUUCAGAUAUCCAAGCGCCACCUAGAAACCCUACUUUUUCUUUGAGUCUCUUUGGCCGAUCAUUCAGCCAAACAAAAACAGAUCUACCAUUCUUUCAAAAAAAUAAAUAAAAAAUCUACCAGAAUGAUUCCCUUAACCAAAUUCAUCUAGAAGUGCACUAUAGUUUCCCAAAUCUUUGUGUUCUGGAUCGAGUUGGAGAUUGGCAUCGAUUUCUCAGAAGAUCGAUCAAUCAUCAACGAUUUUAGAGUAAGUACAUAUAUUAUUAAUUUCAAGUCACGACUUACUGGUUUAUGAUGAUUGAACUCUUAUUGCAGACACUACUACAGUUGAUCUACAUAAGUUCAGAUCUGUAUAGCUAAUGUUACAAUUGAAUGUUUUACAUUUUGUUUGAAUUUGCAGAUUCUACAUUUUCUGGGCAAUUUUAAGAUCAUGGAAGCUUUUGGCGGAAGCAGCUUUUUGAAAUAAAAAAGUAAGCCUAAAACUUCUACAUGCUAAUAUAAUGCUGAUAUACUAUGAAAACCUUGAAGCUAAAAAAUUCGACCUUAGCAUAUUGUGGUGGAUUUCGUUAUUUUUUUCAUGGUUGUUCUGCAUGACAUAUUCACAUGAUUGAAGUGUUAAAAGCCAACCAAAAAAUGGUUGAUAAGAUAAGCAAGUUGCCUGAUGAUAUCAUCGCACACAUAUUGUCUUU
rnacentral:lncRNA from 1 species